rnacentral:rRNA from 1 species
UUCGCAAUGCCCGAAAGGGUGACGAAGCGACGCCGCGUGUGGGAAGAAGGCCUUUCGGGUUCGUAAACCACUGUUGGGAGUUAGGAAGUGUGGAGGUGUUAAUAGCGCUUUCACUUGACUAAAGCUCCAGAGGAAGCCACGGCUAACUCUGUGCCAGCAGCCGCGGUAAUACAGAGGCGGCAAGCGUUGUUCGGAAUUAUUGGGCGUAAAGAGCACGUAGGCGGCUCUGCAAGUCAGCUGUGAAAGCCUUCUGCUUAACGGAAGAACGGCAGUUGAAACUACAGGGCUUGAGUGCGGGAGGGGAGAGUGGAACUUCUGGUGGAGCGGUGAAAUGCGUAGAUAUCAAAAGGAACGCCGGCGGCGAAAGCGGCUCUCUGGUCCGUAACUGACGCUGAGUGUGCGAAAGCUAGGGGAGCAAACGGGAUUAGAUACCCCGGUAGUCCUAGCCGUAAACGAUGGGCACUAAGUAGAGGGGUU